UCAGGACCCGCCCACCGCGUGUCGCAGGCCCCGCCCCCAAGCGGUGCUUUGACCGGAAGCACCGCCCUCAAGACCACGCAUGCGCCUUCUCCCGAGUCCCCGGUCCGCGCCUGCGCAUUCAGCCCUCGGCAUUGGCGCCUGUGCCGCGGCAGUUCCUAUAGGCGGAGCGGGUUGUACGGUCUCUUAAGUUUCAUUCUGGGUUCAGGGCUUUUGUGGGGUAUUUGCAGAGAUAAGUGCGUGAGAACGUCAGUUAUUAAACUAUUGCUGCUUCAAGUCAGCGCCAUCACCCAAGUUCUGCCCCUUGACUCCGGACCUAGGAGCUGAAAUUGCCCAAGGCUGCCGGGACAGCCCUUUUGUAGAAGGUUUGUGACCUGGAAGCAUUCCUCAAAGGGGGAUGCCAUGUUAAUGACUCCAACUUUGUUCUCAAACAUUCCUGCAGAAUAGAAUCAGCUGGGGAGUUUUAAACUUGCUCUGAUGCCUGGGUUUCACCUGCAGUAAUAGGGAGUGUCAGAAGACAAAAUUACAAGUUUAGUUUAAAGAUCUAAUUGGCUUAUAUUUAGGAUCUAGAAUCGAGAAAUAGAUCAUUUCAUAAAGCAAAUAGAGUGUUCCAAUGAGUUGUGCAGAGGAGGUUGGCUUUAUGGGCAAAAAAAGGCUGAAGAACAAAACAAAGAGUGGGUAUUUCAAAGUUACUUUCCUUAUAGGGUUAAAACAGAUUGGACUUCGUUAUUGUACUGACUCAGGUUAACUACAAUCUCCUGUUUUUUGGGAAAACGGGCCUGUUUCAAAGUUCAGUUUGGUUACAUGGCACUUGGCACAAGUGACUCCAUUCUGGUUUGGUCUAGUCUGCUAGGACCUAGUGCAGGAGGUUAGUCCAAAACAAUGGCCUCCCAUAAAUCUUGUUUAACAUGAGUAAUUGGUCUUGAGCGAGUCUUGAGCACCUGUAUUCUUUUUUCUUCUUUCUAAACUCCAGGAAGUUCCUGAAGUGCGCUAGGGUUGAGAACCACUGGUGUAGGCAGGCUUCCCGUCCUCAGCCAUGCAUAGGACGCCCAGUUUUCCCUCUUUACUUUCACACCAAAGUGUAUAAAGAUCUCCUCUUGCAAAGAAUUAAAUAGCUUCUCCGUCUCACUUUACCACUGCAAGUGUUCCGGCCAACGAAUGACGUGGCAGUGGCCUUGGGCCACAUUUACCUGUAAACUCUUUCAGUCUAACAUGUGUACAGCUUAAUUUGUAGUCAGUCGUUCCCCAUCCUGGCUGAGAAAGCAGUUCAGUGAGUGCUCAACUUAAUUGGUUUCUGCCCACACAUGGACCUCUUGGUUUCCCUUUAGCCUGAGACAUAUGCCAGUCCAAUGAUUAUCUAAAAAAACAAAGUUGGAUUUGUAAAAUAUAGCUGUCAUCACCAUCAUUUCUGCAACAUUUGUAAUGCUCUAUUAUUAUAACAGUAUACUAUUUAUUAUCCCAACUGUUAAUGUAGGGCCUUCCACCUUGAUUUAUUUUGCAGUCCAUAUAUGUUGAAUACAGUGAAAAGUUGAUAUAGUAAAGUAAAUUCAUAGGAGGAGCUUCCAAAAAAAAGGAAAAAAGUAUAUGUAUCUCUUGUAUCAAAAGUACUCGUUUUAAAUGUUAAUCAGAUAGCAUUUUCCAUCACUGAAAAGCAGUUUGGAUUUGCAAGGCUCACCGGAAGUUGGGUUCUUUUGUUUUGUUGCUGUGCCUGGAAUUCUGGCAUCAGUUUAAGUAGCUCAAAGAUACAUGGAAUUCAGAUAUGGUGAAUCAACGUCUCACAAAACAGAAAAAAAGACUCCAUAGUUGAAUGUACUUUAUCCAUGGAAAAUGAAUUAUUUGGAUGGUAGUUCCACGGAUAUCUUCUUGUUAGAAAAUUCAUUGAUUUGAUGCUUAAUUUCUACAGUUUCCUGUAUGUGUUAUUAGGUAACAAUAACAAAAAAUUAAAUAGCUUAUAUCUCUUAGAGAUUAACAACAAAAGAAGAUGGCAUAAAUUGAAACAAAUUUUAAAAUAAAUGGGAUCUUAAAGUACUGUACCAUACUGAAUCCAACUUUUGCUUCCUAUCUAAUCAACAUCCAAUGGACGGAUGUUUGUGUCCCCCCAAAAUUCAUAUUGUUGAAAUCCUAACCCACAAGGUGAAGGUAUUAAAGUGUGGGGCCUUAAAGAAGCAAUUAGGUAAUCAGGUCACUAGAGUGGAGUCCUCAUGAAUGUGAUUAGUACCCUUAGAAAAAGGCGGGAGAAAACUUGCUUUCUAUCUCUCUGCUCUCUGCCAUGUGAAGAUACGAGGAGAAGACUGCUCUCUGUCAACCAAGAUGAGGGCCUUCCCCAAGAACCCAGUCGUGUUGGCACCCUGAUCUUAAACUUCAGCCUCCAGAGUUGUAAGAAAUAAAUGUUUUUUUGUUUAAGCCACUCAUCUGUGGUACUCUAUUAUAGUAGCCUGAGCUAACACACAAGGUAGAAUUAAUUACCUAAGGAACAGGUGAUUCCAAAGAUUUCUUCUGCAACACCUGGGU
rnacentral:lncRNA from 1 species